AGUGAACGCUGGCGGUAGGCCUAACACAUGCAAGUCGAACGGCAGCACCGUAAGAGCUUGCUCUUACGGGUGGCGAGUGGCGGACGGGUGAGGAAUACAUCGGAAUCUACUUUUUCGUGGGGGAUAACGUAGGGAAACUUACGCUAAUACCGCAUACGACCUACGGGUGAAAGCAGGGGAUCUUCGGACCUUGCGCGAUUGAAUGAGCCGAUGUCGGAUUAGCUAGUUGGCGGGGUAAAGGCCCACCAAGGCGACGAUCCGUAGCUGGUCUGAGAGGAUGAGCAGCCACACUGGAACUGAGAAACGGUCCAGACUCCUACGGGAGGCAGCAGUGGGGAAUAUUGGACAAUGGGCGCAAGCCUGAUCCAGCCAUACCGCGUGGGUGAAGAAGGCCUUCGGGUGGUAAAGCACUUUUGUUGGGAAAGAAAAGCAGCAGGUUAAUACCCCGCUGUUCUGACGGUACCAAAAGAAUAAGCACCGGCUAACUUCGUG
rnacentral:rRNA from 1 species